rnacentral:rRNA from 1 species
GGCGUGGAUAAGACAUGCAAGUCGAACGAGAGAAUUGCUAGCUUGCUAAUAAUUCUCUAGUGGCGCACGGGUGAGUAACACGUGAGUAACCUGCCCCCGAGAGCGGGAUAGCCCUGGGAAACUGGGAUUAAUACCGCAUAGUAUCGAAAGAUUAAAGCAGCAAUGCGCUUGGGGAUGGGCUCGCGGCCUAUUAGUUAGUUGGUGAGGUAACGGCUCACCAAGGCGAUGACGGGUAGCCGGUCUGAGAGGAUGUCCGGCCACACUGGAACUGAGACACGGUCCAGACACCUACGGGUGGCAGCAGUCGAGAAUCAUUCACAAUGGGGGAAACCCUGAUGGUGCGACGCCGCGUGGGGGAAUGAAGGUCUUCGGAUUGUAAACCCCUGUCAUGUGGGAGCAAAUUAAAAAGAUAGUACCACAAGAGGAAGAGACGGCUAACUCUGUGCCAGCAGCCGCGGUAAUACAGAGGUCUCAAGCGUUGUUCGGAAUCACUGGGCGUAAAGCGUGCGUAGGCUGUUUCGUAAGUCGUGUGUGAAAGGCGCGGGCUCAACCCGCGGACGGCACAUGAUACUGCGAGACUAGAGUAAUGGAGGGGGAACCGGAAUUCUCGGUGUAGCAGUGAAAUGCGUAGAUAUCGAGAGGAACACUCGUGGCGAAGGCGGGUUCCUGGACAUUAACUGACGCUGAGGCACGAAGGCCAGGGGAGCGAAAGGGAUUAGAUACCCCUGUAGUCCUGGCAGUAAACGGUGCACGCUUGGUGUGCGGGGAAUCGACCCCCUGCGUGCCGGAGCUAACGCGUUAAGCGUGCCGCCUGGGGAGUACGGUCGCAAGAUUAAAACUCAAAGAAAUUGACGGGGACCCGCACAAGCGGUGGAGUAUGUGGCUUAAUUCGAUGCAACGCGAAGAACCUUACCUGGGCUUGACAUGUAAUGAACAACAUGUGAAAGCAUGCGACUCUUCGGAGGCGUUACACAGGUGCUGCAUGGCCGUCGUCAGCUCGUGUCGUGAGAUGUUUGGUUAAGUCCAGCAACGAGCGCAACCCCUGUUGCCAGUUACCAGCACGUGAAGGUGGGGACUCUGGCGAGACUGCCCAGAUCAACUGGGAGGAAGGUGGGGACGACGUCAGGUCAGUAUGGCCCUUAUGCCCAGGGCUGCACACGUACUACAAUGCCCAGUACAGAGGGGGCCGAAGCCGCGAGGCGGAGGAAAUCCUGAAAACUGGGCCCAGUUCGGACUGUAGGCUGCAACCCGCCUACACGAAGCCGGAAUCGCUAGUAAUGGCGCAUCAGCUACGGCGCCGUGAAUACGUUCCCGGGUCUUGUACACACCGCCCGUCACAUCAUGGAAGCCGGUCGCACCCGAAGUAUCUGAAGCCAACCGCAAGGAGGCAGGGUCCUAAGGUGAGACUGGUAACUGGGAUGAAG